rnacentral:lncRNA from 1 species
UGCUUCACUUUAAAGUUAAGCAAUUUAAGGUAUUUGGUCCAAAUAAAAUAUCCCUAUUAUUUUAAAAGCAGAAGCUUCUUAAUAACAUUUAAAAGUAGUCUUUGGGUUACUUUUCAAAGUUUCUUUAAAAAGAAGUAAAGAUGAGCUCUUAAUGAAUUUUUUUAAUUCCCAAAAUACACUCAUUAAUUUUUUUAAAUUGGCAUCCGAAACGUUUCUACUCUG